GCCCACUUAGCUCAGUCGGUAGAGCAACUCCAUGGUAAGGAGUAGGUCCGCGGUUCGAUUCCGCGAGUGGGCU
rnacentral:tRNA from 1 species